rnacentral:tRNA from 1 species
GACGGCCGCAGGCCGCGGUUCGGCCGCCGAGGCCUGCCAGGUCUCGCAGGUGGCCGCCGUGGGCCGCGUGUUCGGCGGCGCGCCGGUUCCCGCC